rnacentral:rRNA from 1 species
AUACGGAGGGUGCAAGCGUUAUCCGGAAUCAUUGGGUUUAAAGGGUCCGCAGGCGGAUUAAUAAGUCAGUGGUGAAAUCCUCUCGCUCAACGAGAGAACUGCCAUUGAAACUGUUAGUCUUGAAUUCGGUCGAAGUGGGCGGAAUGUGUCAUGUAGCGGUGAAAUGCAUAGAUAUGACACAGAACACCGAUAGCGAAGGCAGCUUACUAGACCUGGAUUGACGCUCAUGGACGAAAGCGUGGGGAGCGAACAGGAUUAGAAACCCCAGUAGUCC